AGUGAACGCUGGCGGUAGGCCUAACACAUGCAAGUCGAACGGCAGCACAGUAAGAGCUUGCUCUUACGGGUGGCGAGUGGCGGACGGGUGAGGAAUACAUCGGAAUCUACUUUUUCGUGGGGGAUAACGUAGGGAAACUUACGCUAAUACCGCAUACGACCUACUGGUGAAAGCAGGGGAUCUUCGGACCUUGCGCGAUUGAAUGAGCCGAUGUCGGAUUAGCUAGUUGGCGGGGUAAAGGCCCACCAAGGCGACGAUCCGUAGCUGGUCUGAGAGGAUGAUCAGCCACACUGGAACUGAGACACGGUCCAGACUCCUACGGGAGGCAGCAGUGGGGAAUAUUGGACAAUGGGCGCAAGCCUGAUCCAGCCAUACCGCGUGGGUGAAGAAGGCCUUCGGGUUGUAAAGCCCUUUUGUUGGGAAAGAAAAGCAGCAGGUUAAUACCCCGCUGUUCUGACGGUACCCAAAGAAUAAGCACCGGCUAACUUCGU
rnacentral:rRNA from 1 species